UACGUAGGGUGCGAGCGUUGUCCGGAAUUAUUGGGCGUAAAGGGCUCGUAGGCGGUUUGUCGCGUCGGGAGUGAAAACUCAGGGCUUAACCCUGAGCCUGCUUCCGAUACGGGCAGACUAGAGGUAUGCAGGGGAGAACGGAAUUCCUGGUGUAGAGGUGAAAUUCGUAGAUAUCGGGAGGAACACCAGUGGCGAAGGCGGCGAUCUGGGAAGAUACUGACGCUGAGGUGCGAAAGCGUGGGGAGCAAACAGG
rnacentral:rRNA from 1 species